rnacentral:sRNA from 1 species
AGAGAUUGUAACUGUUGUGGUAUCUA